ACGUCAGAACUGUUUCGGUCUUCCAUCAGGGUUUCCCCUGACUUCAACCUGAUCAAGUAUAGUUCACCAUCUUUCGGGUCACAGCAUAUAUGCUCAAGGUACGUUCCAGUUAGAGGCAUAAAUAAUAUAAAUAUCAUUAUACAUAACUAUAUAGAACGCCCCGGGAUUGUGUUAAUCAACUAUAAAUAGCUAAAAAACUAAUCCCAUUAUUGGUCAUGUUAAUUACGCUAUUAGGUUU
rnacentral:rRNA from 1 species